UCUGGCUGUAAUGGCACUUGCCCUCACUGAGAGGAGUGUAUCGAUAAUGAGAACGUCUUAGUACUCUACUUCUGAGCCAUG